GAUGAAGAACGUAGCGAAAUGCGACAAGUAAUGUGAAUUGCAGAAUUCCGUGAAUCAUCGAAUCUUUGAACGCACAUUGCGCCCGCUAGUAUUCUGGCGGGCAUGCCUGUCCGAGCGUCAUUUCAACCCUCAAGCCCCCGGGCUUGGUGUUGGGGAUCGGCGAGCCUCCGCGCCCGCCGUCCCCUAAAUCUAGUGGCGGUCUCGCUGUAGCUUCCUCUGCGUAGUAGCACACCUCGCACUGGGAAACAGCGCGGCCACGCCGUUAAACCCCCAACUUCUGAACGUUUGACCUCGGAUCAGGUAGGAAUACCCGCUGAACUUAAGCAUAUCAAUAAGCGGAGGA
rnacentral:misc_RNA from 1 species